UAAUCAUGGAGUAUAAUAAUUAAAUUUAAUAAAUUUAAUAUAACUAUUAAUAGAAUUAGGUUACUAAUAAAUUAAUAACAAUUAAUUUUAAAACCUAAAGGUAAACCUUUAUAUUAAUAAUGUUUUUUUUUUAUUAUUUUUAUAAUAAGAAUAAUUAUUAAUAAUAAUAAACUAAGUGAACUGAAACAUCUAAGUAACUUAAGGAUAAGAAAUCAACAGAGAUAUUAUGAGUAUUGGUGAGAGAAAAUAAUAAAGGUCUAAUAAGUAUUAUGUGAAAAAAAUGUAAGAAAAUAGGAUAACAAAUUCUAAGACUAAAUACUAUUAAUAAGUAUAGUAAGUACCGUAAGGGAAAGUAUGAAAAUGAUUAUUUUAUAAGCAAUCAUGAAUAUAUUAUAUUAUAUUAAUGAUGUACCUUUUGUAUAAUGGGUCAGCAAGUAAUUAAUAUUAGUAAAACAAUAAGUUAUAAAUAAAUAGAAUAAUAUAUAUAUAUAUAAAAAUAUAUUAAAAUAUUUAAUUAAUAUUAAUUGACCCGAAAGCAAACGAUCUAACUAUGAUAAGAUGGAUAAACGAUCGAACAGGUUGAUGUUGCAAUAUCAUCUGAUUAAUUGUGGUUAGUAGUGAAAGACAAAUCUGGUUUGCAGAUAGCUGGUUUUCUAUGAAAUAUAUGUAAGUAUAGCCUUUAUAAAUAAUAAUUAUUAUAUAAUAUUAUAUUAAUAUUAUAUAAAGAAUGGUACAGCAAUUAAUAUAUAUUAGGGAACUAUUAAAGUUUUAUUAAUAAUAUUAAAUCUCGAAAUAUUUAAUUAUAUAUAAUAAAGAGUCAGAUUAUGUGCGAUAAGGUAAAUAAUCUAAAGGGAAACAGCCCAGAUUAAGAUAUAAAGUUCCUAAUAAAUAAUAAGUGAAAUAAAUAUUAAAAUAUUAUAAUAUAAUCAGUUAAUGGGUUUGACAAUAACCAUUUUUUAAUGAACAUGUAACAAUGCACUGAUUUAUAAUAAAUAAAAAAAAAAUAAUAUUUAAAAUCAAAUAUAUAUAUAUUUGUUAAUAGAUAAUAUACGGAUCUUAAUAAUAAGAAUUAUUUAAUUCCUAAUAUGGAAUAUUAUAUUUUUAUAAUAAAAAUAUAAAUACUGAAUAUCUAAAUAUUAUUAUUACUUUUUUUUUAAUAAUAAUAAUAUGGUAAUAGAACAUUUAAUGAUAAUAUAUAUUAGUUAUUAAUUAAUAUAUGUAUUAAUUAAAUAGAGAAUGCUGACAUGAGUAACGAAAAAAAGGUAUAAACCUUUUCACCUAAAACAUAAGGUUUAACUAUAAAAGUACGGCCCCUAAUUAAAUUAAUAAGAAUAUAAAUAUAUUUAAGAUGGGAUAAUCUAUAUUAAUAAAAAUUUAUCUUAAAAUAUAUAUAUUAUUAAUAAUUAUAUUAAUAAUAUAUAUAAUUAUAUUAUAUAUUUUUUUUUUUAUAUAAUAUAAACUAAUAAAGAUCAGGAAAUAAUUAAUGUAUACCGUAAUGUAGACCGACUCAGGUAUGUAAGUAGAGAAUAUGAAGGUGAAUUAGAUAAUUAAAGGGAAGGAACUCGGCAAAGAUAGCUCAUAAGUUAGUCAAUAAAGAGUAAUAAGAACAAAGUUGUACAACUGUUUACUAAAAACACCGCACUUUGCAGAAACGAUAAGUUUAAGUAUAAGGUGUGAACUCUGCUCCAUGCUUAAUAUAUAAAUAAAAUUAUUUAACGAUAAUUUUAUUAAAUUUAGGUAAAUAGCAGCCUUAUUAUGAGGGUUAUAAUGUAGCGAAAUUCCUUGGCCUAUAAUUGAGGUCCCGCAUGAAUGACGUAAUGAUACAACAACUGUCUCCCCUUUAAGCUAAGUGAAAUUGAAAUCGUAGUGAAGAUGCUAUGUACCUUCAGCAAGACGGAAAGACCCUAUGCAGCUUUACUGUAAUUAGAUAGAUCGAAUUAUUGUUUAUUAUAUUCAGCAUAUUAAGUAAUCCUAUUAUUAGGUAAUCGUUUAGAUAUUAAUGAGAUACUUAUUAUAAUAUAAUGAUAAUUCUAAUCUUAUAAAUAAUUAUUAUUAUUAUUAUUAAUAAUAAUAAUAUGCUUUCAAGCAUAGUGAUAAAACAUAUUUAUAUGAUAAUCACUUUACUUAAUAGAUAUAAUUCUUAAGUAAUAUAUAAUAUAUAUUUUAUAUAUAUUAUAUAUAAUAUAAGAGACAAUCUCUAAUUGGUAGUUUUGAUGGGGCGUCAUUAUCAGCAAAAGUAUCUGAAUAAGUCCAUAAAUAAAUAUAUAAAAUUAUUGAAUAAAAAAAAUAAUAUAUAUUAUAUAUAUUAAUUAUAAAUUGAAAUAUGUUUAUAUAAAUUUAUAUUUAUUGAAUAUAUUUUAGUAAUAGAUAAAAAUAUGUACAGUAAAAUUGUAAGGAAAACAAUAAUAACUUUCUUAAAAAAUAAAAAUGGAAAGAAUUAAAUUAAUAUAAUGGUAUAACUGUGCGAUAAUUGUAACACAAACGAGUGAAACAAGUACGUAAGUAUGGCAUAAUGAACAAAUAACACUGAUUGUAAAGGUUAUUGAUAACGAAUAAAAGUUACGCUAGGGAUAACAGGGUAAUAUAACGAAAGAGUAGAUAUUGUAAGUUAUGUUUGCCACCUCGAUGUCGACUCAACAUUUCCUCUUGGUUGUAAAAGCUAAGAAGGGUUUGACUGUUCGUCAAUAAAAAUGUUACGUGAGUUGGGUUAAAUACGAUGUGAAUCAGUAUGGUUCCUAUCUGCUGAAGGAAAUAUUAUCAAAUUAAAUCUCAUUAUUAGUACGCAAGGACCAUAAUGAAUCAACCCAUGGUGUAUCUAUUGAUAAUAAUAUAAUAUAUUUAAUAAAAAUAAUACUUUAUUAAUAUAUUAUCUAUAUUAGUUUAUAUUUUAAUUAUAUAUUAUCAUAGUAGAUAAGCUAAGUUGAUAAUAAAUAAAUAUUGAAUACAUAUUAAAUAUGAAGUUGUUUUAAUAAGAUAAUUAAUCUGAUAAUUUUAUACUAAAAUUAAUAAUUAUAGGUUUUAUAUAUUAUUUAUAAAUAAAUAUAUUAUAAUAAUAAUAAUUAUUAUUAUUAAUAAAAAAUAU
rnacentral:rRNA from 1 species